rnacentral:tRNA from 1 species
GACGAGGUGACCGAGCGGUUAAGGUGAUGGACCAUUGUGCAUUGCACGCGUGGGUUCGAAUCCCAUCCUCGUCG